rnacentral:lncRNA from 1 species
UGGUAAUGUGGUAAUAUCAGGAAGGAUCAUCUGAGAAUUAUAUUGAUUUGAUUUAACCUUUAGCUUGACUACAUAUGGAUAUAAACUGAUCUAGAUUGACUUAGUUGAACAUUAUGAUUAGCUAAGCCACCUAUCGAUCUACCAUAUGGGACAUCGGUUAUGAGCUGAUAUGAUUUGAAAUCAGAUAUACUAUGAAUCAGUUACUCUCCAGCUCCACUAUAGCUAUUUUCUAGCUAUGUUAUAACUACUCUUUAUGUAGGGUGAACAACCCAUAAUCUCCAUACAGCUAGCCAUUUUAUUAUAACAAACUGACAGCCU